CAGCGCCGACAUGGCGACCACCGGCCCCUGCCCGAGCGCGCCGCUGCCCCUCCGGGCGGCCUGCGCAGCCUCUUCCCCUUCCGCCGACGCUAGAACCUGCCUCCGCCCCUCCUAUCGCAGCCGCCGCAGACUGGUGAAAUUGCUACACAUUUAAAUGUGAACUGCACUUCUGCAGUACAGCCAAGCCUUCAUAGUCCAUUAUUAUUAAAAUAUGCUUUCCCAGCAACACAAGAGAAAUAGUUCAAAAUUCCUCAGUUCUUUUGAGUCAGUCUAUCUUAAAACAGCUCUGGCAUUCUGUCAUAAAAUGGAUUUUAUCCUGAUGGAGCUAAUAUUUUCCACACACAGCGUACAGAAUUUGGGCCUUAAUAUAUAAACACCAACAACUUUGGCAAGACUGAUCUUCCCAGGGCUGUUUAAAAAAAGAUAUUGUCCUACAGUAUGAUCACCUGCCCCAACAACUGAGAAACUGCAUCAUCACUAAUUAUUGUGUAUAUAUAAAGGGCAUUUUAGACCUCUCUAUUCCCCCAAAUUAUUUGACUUGAAGAGGAACCCACAGCAGAGCAGCAGGAACCCAGCUGGAGAGGGAAGAGUAGCAUGGAAUGUUGCACACCAUAUAUUUACCACCAGCUUCUCCACUUAUUCUCCAUACAGGCUGCCUGUACAAAAUUGAAAGGAGGGUGGCCUUGCUACAGUGGACGGCCAGGGAACAGGUGGUCCAUGUGCUCCAUUUCUCUUUGUAAUGGACACCUGGCACUUUGUAGGCAUCCAUACAAAUGUGUAGAAGAAGGAUUUCAUUCAUUAUGCUCAAAUUGUCAUUAUCUUUCCCCUUUUAGGGGUCACAGAACACAGAUCUUGACUACGAGCCAAUAAUAGUAUUGUAACUUGAAUGGCUGAGAUGUGGGGGUGAAAGAAGCAUUGAGGGGUAAGAUUCUCUGUAUAACUAGGGAGGGUUCCACUUAAUUUGAUCCAGAUUUCCGAUCCCUGACCUAUGUCCCCCACCCUCUACAGCACAGGCACUAAUCACACCAGAAUAUGGGCUGCUGCUUCAGAAAUAGAUCCUCUAAUCUCCCCAACCCUUCGGGAAAAUGCUACUCCUUGUCUCCCCCCGCCCCGCAGUAUCUUUUUAUACUGAGCACAGAAAGUGGGAACCAUUAGACUCUGUUCUGACAAACAGACUUUAUACGAGUAUAAACUAUGAGCUCAAAAGGACUAGUCACCUAUGUAAAGUUACUCGUGCCUGAGUGCUGAAUCAGAAUCAUAAUUAACUUGUGGGACUUUGUCUUUUAAUAAUAGCAUGGUUGCUUUAUGACAACAUUGUGGAGUGCUAUGCAAACAUGACUAACAGAAUAAAGAGUGCAUUUUUAAUAAAAGCUUUCCAUUACUCUGUGAUAUAAAAAAUGCAUAAAGAUCUCAUAUAAUUUGUUGUUGGGACAAAGCCAGAGAACAUAUGGUAAACACAUAUGGUAUCUGUAGCCUUAGCUGAAAUGAGAAACCACAAGUUACCUAAUCCAUCCAGGGUAUGGAUAUAUGGCUUACAGUUUCCAAGCAGAUGCUUCACCAGUUUGGAAGAGCUUAUUUUACAGCUUCAGAUUAGAUGUCAUAACAACAAGCACUUGUAAGUCUCUUUAUAACAAUAAAGUUACUGAUGAAAAACCAACUGCACAUUAUACAUUGUAAAAGAACUUUGAUUUAACUUAAAAAGUACUUAAUAUCUACCUGAUAGACACUUUACUUCUCAAAGAACUCAAUAUGCUACUGUAUUAUAUUGCCAUUUACGUUAGGAAAAAUAAACCUGUUGUGCACGUCGUUCCCAGACUUUCUAGGCAAACAUGAAAUUCUACUAACUUGACAAAACAUUUCUUCUCUCACUUUCCCAAUACACACAUUGAUAUACACUACAUUAAUUUUGUCUACAAUAGCAUUUGUUGGGAAAUCUCCUCCUGUUGCACCAGGAAUAGUGCAGAUCCUACAAUCUCUGCUGACAGAGC